CUUGUUUGUUUUCAUCUUGUUUCAUCAUUUUUUAUUUUUUGGUUUUCAUUUUCCUUUUUUUUCAAUCAUCCAACUAAAAAGCCAGAAGAGGGCUUAAAGAGGGCUCAAACUAUGCACCGUUUCUAUAGCCAACACAUUAGACCAGAGCCGGACUUUUUCUUCUUCUUCUUUUCUUUCUACGUUUUAGCAUUUAAGUGACAAAAAGGUUGCUCACUGUUACUAUCUACCUCUCCUACCCAUUAUUGUUUAUG
rnacentral:ribozyme from 1 species